AGCGAACGCUGGCGGCAGGCUUAGCACAUGCAAGUCGAACGGGCACUUCGGUGCUAGUGGCAGACGGGUGAGUAACACGUGGGAACAUACCUUUCGGUUCGGAAUAAUACAGGGAAACUUGUACUAAUACCGGAUACGCCCUUCGGGGGAAAGAUUUAUCGCCGAUAGAUCGGCCCGCGUCUGAUUAGCUAGUUGGUGAGGUAAUGGCUCACCAAGGCGACGAUCAGUAGCUGGUCUGAGAGGAUGAUCAGCCACACUGGGACUGAGACACGGCCCAGACUCCUACGGGAGGCAGCAGUGGGGAAUAUUGGACAAUGGGCGAAAGCCUGAUCCAGCCAUGCCGCGUGAGUGAUGAAGGCCUUAGGGUUGUAAAGCUCUUUUGUCCGGGAAGAUAAUGACUGUACCGGAAGAAUAAGCCCCGGCUAACUUCGUGCCAGCAGCCGCGGUAAGAC
rnacentral:rRNA from 1 species